rnacentral:lncRNA from 10 species
CUUUUCUCAGUGAGCCUCCAGGGUUCUCUUCUGGUGAAUGUGGACUGAAUAAAGACCAGUGGUGGUCAAACUCUUCCCACAGGUGUAAUCUAAGUGGUAACGUGUAAGAAUGGAGUCACUCUGGAGGAGAUCUGAGGCCCCACCCAUUUGGCCUUCCCCUGGUCCGUAUGGGGAAAGCUGUGGCACCUUGGAGGAACAGAGAAGACUCCUCAACAUGGUGUGGAUAAGUGAGACUCUUCUUGAUCCAAAAUCCUACAACCCUGCCAAGUCCUCACCUCGGGGAAGGGGAAGCUCCAAAUCCCUUCUCAGAUGAGGUGCAGGGAAUGGGGCUGCUAUGCUCAGGCCAGAAGGGAGUGGUUUAUGUCCCUGAAACAGGGGAAGUAGGGCAGAGCAGGCAGAUGCUCAGGUUCAGAAGGGGUGGAGUAUGGGCUAGCUGAAAAAUCUACCUUAAAGCCUCCACUUUUGAGAGACCUCUAUUUCCUCUUGAGAUUUUCAAGCAUUAUAAAUAAUAAUAAUAAUAAUAAUAAUAAUAAUAAUAAAGACAGCACCUCAGACUUUCCUCAUGGUUUUCACCGAGUACUGAAGAAAAAGCAUCAGCAAUGCCCUGGAGCUGAAGAAUUCAGGUCAGAGCUAAAAAGUGACUUUGCUGACGGGGCUGACUGUUGGGUCCUAAAAAAUACCAAGAGAAACUGGGAGAGACCUUUCCUGAAAAAAACAAAAAAAUGCACAGAACCCCAGCCCAACGCAGAGAUUUCAAUUUCAUCUCCCUCUUUUUAACUGUGUUUUCCUUUAUUUGUUUUUUGUUUUUGUGGAUAACCAUUGCUUCAUACUCUUGAGGCUGGACUGGCUUUAUGGAGAUGAGAGAGAUAAGGCAAUGAAGUCACCUGCCCUUGUCAGGAGGUUCCACCAUCUCUUCAGGGGACAUGCCAAAGGAGAGAUGCCAGAUAAACAAAGAGAACAACAACAACAAAAAAAUCUUGGCUUUGACUUCUGAAAAAAAAAAAAAACAGAUGAAACUUAAAGGUGAGACAAGAGAGUUCUGAUUUGCCAGAGCUGAAGAUGUUAUAACUCAAAAGACCAAAGGCUGGAAGAGGCAGAGAAGCAGAGCACACUAGGAGAUUGGAAGAGAGUGAGUUAGACCUGCCUCAUACAUCCUCCACACUGACAUCCAGUGUUGACCAAAGUGGGGCUAUAAGAAGUAAACCUCUGAAAAGGAGAAGACCAUGCAGGUGAGUGUUGGAUUCUCCUCUCCAUAAUUCUCCCCAUCUCUCACCCAGUUCUGGACCCUAGGUUGGGAAGAGGUGAUUCUGAAACCUGAGACAGGUGGGGAGCCCUGGCAGUAAAGAGGACCUGUGUUUGGCUACCAGCUUGAAAGCCAAUUUGAGAACAGAUCCAUGAAGAGAAGGCUUGGGAUAGCAACCUCACUACAGUCUUUUUUGAUGCCAGAAAACCACGGAAGGGCCUCCUCAAGUUUUCUGUGCCCCUGAACAGGGCCAAGAAGAAGCUGAGAGGGCUAGUAAACCCAGAGAAAUCUAACAGAGAAGAAAGAGGAUUCACCGUGACCUUAGUGGACAAGGUGAGUACAGGUCUCUCGGUAGAUGCAGUGAGAAUGAACACCACUGGCCUAACUGAAGAUGUUAAGAACUCCAUCCAAGGGGAUGGAUCCCAAAGAAAAAGAAAACACCAGGAAAAGCCUCCCACCAAUACUGUAGCUCAUAAGCCCUCAGCCCACUUCUACUUCCUGGAAUUCAGGUACAGCCCUGCAUUAACAGAAUUGACCUGGGAGUGACUUUAUGUUUCACCUCAGAAAUGAGGUUCAGAAUAGAGGUAAGGUUGAAAAUAAAAUAUCACCACAACAGUUUGUGUGUGUGUAUGUGUGCGUGUGUGUGCGUGUGUGUAUUGCCACAGUUUUUACAGACCUGCAUUUAUAAGACUGUAAACUCUCAUUUCUGCAAUAGGCACAGAAAUAAGACAGCUCCUCCUACGGUCCAGAGCCACAAUGUGUCUCAGAGGCCAGGACUGCCUGUGGACACCAUGCCCACUGCCUGCAGCUUCUGGAAGGGGCUGCUGACAGGUAAGGGGAGGUGGACUGCAUGCUCAGCUCUUCUUCCUCCCUCUGUCCACGGCUAAGUUGCCAACUCAAAGUUUCCUUUUAUUUCACCUCUGACCUCUCCCUUGUACCCAUGCCCUCCUCUUCAUUUGAACUGCCACCACCUCAGGUCAGCCCUGUUGCCUGUCAUAAAUUAUUGUGAGAGCUGCAUGGAAAGAGGUGUCAAAUCAAAGGAAAAGGUCAGCCUUCUCUUGCUCAAUUUUGUCCAGGUAAAGCAUUAUUACUUAAAUGUUUCAUUUCAAAGAAUGACUCUGGGGAUUUAUCAAUGCCCUCACUCCCCCAAAUGUGUUCUUAUCCUGUAGGAAAACACUGAUCAAAUCCAUAUUAGAUAGUUUGGCCAGGCCUAGUAGCUCACAUCUGUAAUCCCAGCACUUUGGGAGGCCGAGGCAGGAGGACUGCUUGAGGCCAGGAGUUCAAGACCAGCCUGAGCAACAUGGCGAAACCUUGUCUCUACUAAAAAUACAAAAAUCAGCUAGGCGUGGUGGUGCACGCCUCUACUCCCAGCUACUAGGGAGGAUGAGGCAGGGGAAUUGCUUGAACCCAGGAGGCAGAGGUUGCAGUGAGCUGAGAUCGCACCACUGCACUCCAGCACGGGUGACAGAGCGAGAUUUCAUCUCAAAAAAAAAAAAAAAAAGAAUCCAUAUUAGAUAGUUAAACAUGUACCCUAAUAGGUGAUUAUUUUCUCCUGCAUUAGGAUACUGUUGGUACUGUCAUAAAUUAACUACCACCAACAGGUAGCUUCUGCUUCCCCUCAUGCUUACGUGAAAACUUUGCUGUAAGUCAGAGCCUAGAAAUGAGGUCUUUAACAAUGAAGGACAGUCUUAGAACCUCAUGGAAAGAAUCGUACCAAGUUUGAACUACUGACACUUCAAUUAACAGACUCAUUGGUGCAGGCUUCCAAGGUGGUAUUUCUUAGAUAAUUUCCAAAGGGUGUUCAUAAAAGCAAACUGUUGACCCAAGAUCUGGUGGAGCAAAAAUAAUUAUAUUGGACUAAAGGAACUGAUGAGGAAAUAGAAUUUUAGUUGUUUUAUAAUAUUGUUGGUAUUAUUUUUAAUGUUCUAUUUUCUGAUAUCACAGAGUGUUUUCUGUUUUUUCCUGAUCUCUCACCAUUAACUUAGUAGUCUGUGCUUUUGUAAACAUUUUGAAAUGAAAGAUUUUUAAAUGGUAAUCUUGUUCUCACUGGCCUUUCAGAAUUCAGGAACAACACUUUGUCUGAGUCUCUUUACUUUUAAUGGCAAUGGGGUUACUUGUAUAGAUUCAGUAAGAAUCUGUUCUCAUUUUUACUCGUAAAUAAUUGAACAAAUAGAUGGCACAGUCAAGGCCACACCUGGAGUGUCAGUCUCAUCUGCUUAAAUAUGAAGCCCAUCAUUAAGAAACAAGGGUUGUUUUUUAUUUGCAAAAUCAUGAGGCCCUCCCAGAAACCUGGACUGUUACCUUAUAAUGGCAGACUUGGAGGCCAUCUCUCUUAAGGAGAGAUGCAUUCACCCUCAUUUGUAGAUGCUACAGGCAAAAUAGUGGCAAUGACUUUAUUUUAUUUUUUAUUUUUGAGAUGGAGUCUCACUCUAUUGCUCAGGUUGAAGUACAGUGGCGCAAUCUUGACUCACUGCAACCUCCACCUCCCGAGUUCAAGCAAUUCUCCUGCCUCAGCCCCCUGAGUAGCUGGGAUUACAGGCACCAGCCACCACACCUGACUGAUUUUUGUAUUUUUGGUAGAGAUGGGUUUUCGUCAUGUUGGCCAGGCUGGCCUUGAACUCCUGACCUCCAGCUAUCCACUCACCUUGGUCUCCCAAAGUGCUGGGAUUACAGGUGUGAGCCACCACACCCGGCUGGCAACAUGGCAAUGUCUAGCCUCAGAAUAAAAGCAAUAAACAAUAUACCUAGAAUAAGAGAGGCUUCUGAAAUUUCCUAAGAUUUUUAAGAAAUCUCCAGACAGAAGUUAAUUUUCUGGGCUACGUAGUUGCUUAACACCACAUGGCUUUAGAUUUUCUGACCAGACUACAAAGAGGCUUAUGUAUAUUAGUUAACUUUUCUUACUGCAUUUAUAACUAAAUGAAUCAGGCCUAACUGCAAUGAGAUUAGCUUUUUAGAAAUCAAGAAUAAUAACUGGAGAUUAUUUGUAAUCACAGUGUUUCAUGGUUUACAACGUCCUUCCACAUCCUGACUUAAACCUCCUAAAGAGCCUUUAAACACAAUAUUCCUGAAGUCACCAUGAUCACAUUUAGAUUUGAAAUCUUCAUCAUUUAUUUGCCCUGGAAAAGACAACAUAGCUUAUAAAGAGCCAGAUAGAUAAACGCUCAUACCCCAUUCAUUCCACUCCAUUACAAAUCACUCCUAGAUUUUAAAACAUAAGCAUACACACACACACACACACACACACAGAGAGAGAGAGAGAGAGAGAGAAAUGCAACAAUUUCCAAGAAAAGCCAACUACAGCUGAGAAAGCUGAAUUCCACAGAAGGCAAAUUCAAACGUCUAUCUUGGGUCUCACCAAGGAAGGCUCAAAAAGAGGCUGAGACCAGUGGGACAACAUUACUUUCUCCAUCAUGAAAACAUCCAAAUGAGCCCAAGCUUUCCUGGCCCUCUCAGCCACAGAAGAGAAACAGUUACCCUUAGGGAGGUAUUCUCUUUCAUCUGUCCCCUGGCUCUGUGCUGCCUUACAAGCAGAAUAUAUUAAUAAAGAAAUACUUUAGGGGAGAACUCUCUCCACUGUUGUGACAUCUCUGCAGUCUCUGUUUUGAUAUUUGGCCUUGAGAAGUUCAAAGGAUUCAAAAGAUUAGAGUUCAAGAAAGACUAAGAUGUACCCCAGGGCAGGUCCGGUCUUAGAUGCUGAAAAACAGCUCCUCCCACACCAUAGCGAAUAUGACCUCUAAAAGAACCUAGUGGAUAUCCUGGUCUAACAGGAUUAUUUUCAAAGGCUCUUGUUCAUCUUUUUAAUGGUAGUUGAAGGCAAUUCGGUUUAGGGUCCCUAAAUCUGGAGUACUUACCUGUCAUGUCUGCUCAUUUCUCCAGUUUGUUCCUAGUGCCUGGGACAGAGCUCGGCCACAUCAACCCUCUGUGACCCCCCAUUCCUGCCCACGAAUUCUCUGAAGGAAACCCUCACUCACCACUCCUUUCUGCCUUGUGCUUUGGUGGCUCAGGCUCUGGGAGACAGGGACAGGGCCCAUCACAGAGGGUGGCGAGGCUUUUGCCAGUAGAACAAGCAUGGAACUCCAAUUUGCACUGCAAAAGAGAGACACAACAGGUCUUAAGAAUGCAGCCAUAACAGACCCCUACCCCGCCUCCUAAGAAACAGCAGUGCCCUUUGCUUCACAAAAGCAAAGACAAAGCAGGGAGAGGUCGACCUCAGGUAGAGGUCUCAAUUACAGAAUACUAAAUAAGAAAUGGCCUUUUAUAUUUUACCAAAUGCAGAGGAUAACUUCUAAAAACACUGUGGAAGCCCUAGAAGACUUCCUUUAAUGAUGGUAAACCCUAC